AAGCAAGCAGGUCACGUCGGUCACGUCGCUAUGUUUUGCUCAAACUGUGGAAAAGAGCUGGUCGAGCCGUCACCAAACUUUUGCAGCAGUUGUGGCAAGAGGCUUGAAGUUUGUCCGGAGGAUACUCCACAAUGUUCAACACAACAGUCUGUCCCAUCCUGCCCUACACCAGCCCUCAGCACCUUCCUUGAAUACAGAAAAAAGAAAAACGAGGAGCGACAAAAGUAUUCUCUUGGGAGAAAGGGAUUAAAGCAAAAGGACAAACUUAAAGUUCGGAUUCAAAGAUGGACUGGCAAGUCUUGGUUUUUUCGCUGCACUGCAACAGCAUCCCAGUGUCCUGUCCCCAGUCCUGUGUUUCUCUGCCAAGGCCCUGACUGCUUCAGACUUGGAAAACAUGUUCAAACCAGAUCUCAGCCCAGUAGGAAGCAAUAGGCGGCAAAAGGAGGGCAAAACAGUUGUGUUCUGGGCAGAUUAUUUGCUUGAUUGCGAAGAGAAAACAACUGCUGUGUCUCUAGAGGAGGUCCUGAUGUUUGCUACAGGUCUCGCAGCAAUUCCACCAGCGGGCAUGAUGCCAUCCCCACAUCUGGAGUUUUUGAGUGACUCACCCUUUCCUGUUGCGAACACCUGUGCAAAUACACUAAAAUUACCACUUUCUGAAUCUUAUGCUGCUUUUAAGGCUAACAUGGACUUUGGAAUACAAAAUGCUGCGGGAUUCGGAUGCUACUGAAAAUUUCUUGGCAGUCUUGUUUUAAUUCUGUUGCGAUUCAGCUAAUUUUGUUACAGUUACUCCAUGGGCCAGACCAUGUUGCUGUCUAAUUCAGAGUGGCAAAACCUUGCCCUAAUUUCUCAAAAGAUUAGAUAUGAUUUCCCUUAUAAAGUGAUAGUUUAGAAAUUGCUAUCAGCACAAUCCCUUUGUGCAAACUAUGUAUUUUUGUUUUUGAUGUUUUUCUUACCAUAAUUUAAAAGAUUAUAGCAAGACUUUGCCACCUAGACAUAGCUAUAAGCAAUUUAAAAAAAAUAUUAGAUCUGUAAAUGUAGAUUUAUAUCUAGACUUGAAUUAAGAGUUUAAUGUGUGGAAAUUUCAUCUAAGUUCAGACUGAAUGCACAAUUUGGUGUAUAAAAAACUUUAAUACACUUUGUUUCUGUUCUGUAUAACAAUGAGGUUUUAUUUAAGAAAAAUCAACAGGAGACAAAAUAUUAAAAGAUUGGAUUCUGGCUUUUGUUGUUCACAGCCUCGCUGUGUGUUUGAGCAAUAAAUACAGUUCCAUAGCUGA